rnacentral:rRNA from 1 species
UACGGGGGGAGCAAGCGUUGUUCGGAUUUACUGGGCGUAAAGGGCGCGUAGGCGGUCGUGACAAGUCACUUGUGAAAUCUCCGGGCUUAACUCGGAACGGUCAAGUGAUACUGUCGGACUAGAGUACAGAAGGGGCAACUGGAAUUCUCGGUGUAGCGGUGAAAUGCGUAGAUAUCGAGAGGAACACCUGCGGCGAAGGCGACUACCUGGCCUGUUCUUGACGCUGAGGCGCGAAAGCUAGGGGAGCAAACGGG